GUUAGUUGCGAAAACGUCAGUUUUACUGCGGAUUAGCCGGGACGAUCCGCCGUGAAAAUUAAAGCUUCGAUACUCCGUGUCGAUUAUCCGUGGAAAACUCGUCGGUAUCGAUCAUUACAUGUAAGACUGAUAAUUGACGCUCGAUGGUCGUUCAGCUCCGGAUCAGGUGGGGUGGAGGAAAAAGAAGCUGCAGGAUUAUGAUUCCCCUUUCGGAGAAGAGCGCGGCGCUCAAGGGAGGACAAAAUUGUCGCGGCGCAAUUAAUGACGAGGAGCUACGGCGACGCGCAAAAAAAGCGGUGUUUGUCCGAGAUCGAGAUACUCGUCCCGCGGUGCUUAAAGCAGCAAUUAAAAGCUCGUUACUCACGUCCGUCUAUUAAUUAUUCGAGAAACCGGCCGGGCGUGUCGCACGGAAGCGGAAGCUCCGGAAGAUCCGUGCCGAACGUCAAACUCGACGUCGACGAGGACGUAGAAAAUAAUUAAUUUUUGGAGAAAUCGCUGGAAGAUUGGAUUCCUACGGAGCCGCAAGCACAAUUUCGUCCUUCGAGAGUUUCGUGACUGACGCACGUGGGGGUCGGCAGCGGGCGGUCUGACGACCGCCUGUCCUUUCAUUACGACCAGGUGAUUCAUCUUUCGAUUCGUGACGGCAGAACGGAGCAUUGAAAUUGGCAUUUUCAACUUGUACAUUCGUGCCCUGGAUUAUUUAUAAAGCGGCAGAUUAUAUUCUAGCGAGUCACUAUUGUUUGCCCCUCGUUUAACAGGUUUCCAGCGUGAAGACCGUCGAAUGUUCGAAAACCUACCCGUACUCCUAUAAGGCGGCCGCUCGCUAAAAGACUUAACACGUGACCGACAAUCAUCUUAACAGUGAACGUCGAAUCUCUCCCGCGUCCCGACGCUUUUUUUCCGUCGGACAAAGAGGCUCACUGAUCUACGAGAAUAGCCUACGGAGAAAGGUCAAUAGUAGGGUUCAGCCGGCACGGUCUAGACGUUUAAGUAUACAAGAAAUUACGCUACUUUAGUUUGAUCUUCAUGGCGAUAAAAUUUGUGUAAGCGAUGAACCGCCGGAUGAAUAAAAAUUUAGUUUCUUUUUUGUUGCACAUAAA